rnacentral:rRNA from 1 species
AAAGCGAUGGGGUGACGCAGGAAGGUAGCUGGGCCAGUCAGUGGUUGUACUGGUGUAAGAGUGUAGGCCGUGACAUAGGCAAAUCCGUGUCACAUUAAGGCUGAGACUCGAUGCAUACCCGUUGUGGGGAAUUCAGUGAUCCUAUGCUGCCGAGAAAAGCCUCUAGUGAGUUCAUACACGGCCCGUACCCCAAACCGACACAGGUGAUCAGGUAGAGAAUACCAAGGCGAUCGAGAGAACUGUGGUUAAGGAACUCGGCAAAAUGCCCCCGUAACUUCGGGAGAAGGGGGACCAUGCCCGGUGAACAUCUUCACGGUGGGAGCUGGGUGUGGUCGCAGAGACCAGAGAGAAGCGACUGUUUACUAAAAACACAGGUCCGUGCGAAGACGUAAGUCGAUGUAUACGGACUGACGCCUGCCCGGUGCUGGAAGGUUAAGAGGACCGGUUAGCCGUAAGGCGAAGCUGAGAAUUUAAGCCCCAGUAAACGGCGGUGGUAACUAUAACCAUCCUAAGGUAGCGAAAUUCCUUGUCGGGUAAGUUCCGACCUGCACGAAUGGCGUAACGACUUCUCUGCUGUCUCGACCACAGACUCGGCGAAAUUGCACUACGAGUAAAGAUGCUCGUUACGCGCGGCAGGACGAAGAGACCCCGGGACCUUUACUAUAGCUUGGUAUUGGCGUUCGAUUCGGUUUGUGUAGGAUAGGUGGGAGACUGUGAAGCAUGCACGCCAGUGUGUGUGGAGUCGUUGUUGAAAUACCACUCUGAUCGUAUUGGACGUCUAACCUCGGCCCAUGAUCUGGGUUAGGGACAGUGCCUGGUGGGUAGUUUAACUGGGGCGGUUGCCUCCUAAAGAGUAACGGAGGCGCCCAAAGGUUCCCUCAGCCUGGAUGGCAAUCAGGUGUUGAGUGCAAGUGCACAAGGGAGCUUGACUGUGAGACUGACACGUCGAGCAGGGACGAAAGUCGGGACUAGUGAUCCGGCACCGGCAAGUGGAAGCGGUGUCGCUCAACGGAUAAAAGGUACCCCGGGGAUAACAGGCUGAUCUUCCCCAAGAGUCCAUAUCGACGGGAUGGUUUGGCACCUCGAUGUCGGCUCGUCGCAUCCUGGGGCUGGAGUAGGUCCCAAGGGUUGGGCUGUUCGCCCAUUAAAGCGGCACGCGAGCUGGGUUUAGAACGUCGUGAGACAGUUCGGUCUCUAUCCGCCGCGCGCGUAAGAAACUUGAGGAAGGCUGUCCCUAGUACGAGAGGACCGGGACGGACGAACCUCUGGUGUGCCAGUUGUUCCACCAGGAGCAUGGCUGGUUAGCUACGUUCGGAAGGGAUAACCGCUGAAAGCAUCUAAGCGGGAAGCCUGUUCCAAGAUGAGGUUUCUCACCACCUUGCGUGGUUAAGGCCCCCUACAGACCAUGGGGUUGAUAGGCCGGAACUGGAAGCGCAGCAAUGCGUGGAGGUGACCGGUACUAAUAGGCCGAGGGC